rnacentral:rRNA from 1 species
UGUAAACCGCUUUCGCCUGUGACGAAGCGUGAGUGACGGUAAUGGGUAAAGAAGCACCGGCUAACUACGUGCCAGCAGCCGCGGUGAUACGUAGGGUGCGAGCGUUGUCCGGAUUUAUUGGGCGUAAAGGGCUCGUAGGUGGUUGAUCGCGUCGGAAGUGUAAUCUUGGGGCUUAACCCUGAGCGUGCUUUCGAUACGGGUUGACUUGAGGAAGGUAGGGGAGAAUGGAAUUCCUGGUGGAGCGGUGGAAUGCGCAGAUAUCAGGAGGAACACCAGUGGCGAAGGCGGUUCUCUGGGCCUUUCCUGACGCUGAGGAGCGAAAGCGUGGGGAGCGAACAGGCUUAGAUACCCUGGUAGUCCACGCUGUAAACGGUGGGUACUAGGUGUGGGGUCCAUUCCACGGGUUCCGCGCCGUAGCUAACGCUUUAAGUACCCCGCCUGGGGAGUACGGCCGCAAGGCUAAAACUCAAAGGAAUUGACGGGGCCCCGCACAAGCGGCGGAGCAUGCGGAUUAAUUCGAUGCAACGCGUAGAACCUUACCUGGGUUUGACAUGGAUCGGGAGUGCUCAGAGAUGGGUGUGCCUCUUUUGGGGUCGGUUCACAGGUGGUGCAUGGCUGUCGUCAGCUCGUGUCGUGAGAUGUUGGGUUAAGUCCCGCAACGAGCGCAACCCUUGUUCACUGUUGCCAGCACGUUAUGGUGGGGACUCAGUGGAGACCGCCGGGGUCAACUCGGAGGAAGGUGGGGAUGACGUCAAGUCAUCAUGCCCCUUAUGUCCAGGGCUUCACGCAUGCUACAAUGGCUGGUACAGAGAGUGGCGAGCCUGUGAGGGUGAGCGAAUCUCGGAAAGCCGGUCUCAGUUCGGAUUGGGGUCUGCAACUCGACCUCAUGAAGUCGGAGUCGCUAGUAAUCGCAGAUCAGCAACGCUGCGGUGAAUACGUUCCCGGGGCUUGCACACACCGCCCGU